rnacentral:misc_RNA from 1 species
UGGUUCUGGCAUNGAUGAAGAACGCAGCGAAAUGCGAUAAGUAAUGUGAAUUGCAGAAUUCAGUGAAUCAUCGAAUCUUUGAACGCACAUUGCGCCCCUUGGUAUUCCGGGGGGCAUGCCUGUUCGAGCGUCAUUUCAACCCUCAAGCUUAAGCUUGGUCUUGGGCACUGCCGGUCAACGGCUUGCCUUAAAAUCAGUGGCGGUGCCAUUCGAGCUCUACGCGUAGUAACUAACCUCUCGCGAUUGAGUCUUGGUGGAUGCUUGCCAGCAACCCUCAUUUUUUUAUAUGGUUGACCUCGGAUCAGGUAGGGAUACCCGCUGA